rnacentral:rRNA from 1 species
UGAGGAAUAUUGGUCAAUGGGCUGAGGCCUGAACCAGCCAAGUCGCGUGAGGGAAGACGGUCCUAUGGAUUGUAAACCUCUUUUGUCGGGGAGCAACGGGGUCACGCGUGACCGAAGGGAGAGUACCCGAAGAAAAAGCAUCGGCUAACUCCGUGCCAGCAGCCGCGGUAAUACGGAGGAUGCGAGCGUUAUCCGGAUUUAUUGGGUUUAAAGGGUGCGUAGGCGGACUGUUAAGUCAGCGGUAAAAAUUCGGGGCCCAACCCCGUCGUGCCGUUGAAACUGGGAGUCUCGAGUGGGCGAGAAGUAUGCGGAAUGCGAGGUGUAGCGGUGAAAUGCAUAGAUAUCACGCAGAACUCCGAUUGCGAAGGCAGCAUACCGGCGCCCGACUGACGCUGAUGCACGAAAGCGUGGGGAUCGAACAGG